UCACCCCGCGGGGGAGAGUCCCCGUCCACGUCGACGGGGCGCCGAAGGGGCAAACUCCCCGGAACCUCUCAGGCGCCAGGACCCCGCGGAUCAG
rnacentral:ncRNA from 1 species